ACGGGGCCCGCACAAGCGGUGGAGUAUGUGGUUUAAUUCGAUGCAACGCGAAGAACCUUACCUAGGUUUGACAUCCGGAAGACCUUCCCGAAAAGGAAGGGUGCCCUUCGGGGAAUUCCGAGACAGGUGCUGCAUGGCUGUCGUCAGCUCGUGCCGUGAGGUGUUGGGUUAACGUCCCGCAACGAGCGCAACCCUUAUUGCCAGUUGCUACCAGGUAAUGCGUGGGCACUCUGGUGAGACUGCCCCGGUUAACGGGGAGGAAGGUGGGGACGACGUCAAGUCAUCAUGGCCCUUACGCCUAGGGCUACACACGUACUACAAUGGCGCAUACAAAGGGCAGCGAUACCGCGAGGUGGAGCCAAUCCCAAAAAGUGCGUCCCAGUCCGGAUUGCAGUCUGCAACUCGACUGCAUGAAGUUGGAAUCGCUAGUAAUUCGAGAUCAGCAUGCUCGGGUGAAUGCGUUCCCGGGCCUU
rnacentral:rRNA from 1 species